rnacentral:misc_RNA from 1 species
GUAACUAGGUGGUAGACGGACCAUCCUGUAAUGUAAAUCAACCGACGAGCUUGAGUGAUUGCAUCAAAUAUAUCCUGCCAGCACUGUCCAUGCUGAUACUGCACUCUAUUUUCAAGCCACAAAUUCGGGAGGCUGCCUUCGGGAACAUGAGCAUCCUGAUAAAGUGUUACUUUGCCACCUCUUCUUAGAGGGAAGUAAGUCCCGGGCACGCCCUGAUACUCGUGAUCUCCCCCCACACCACCAUGAUAAAGGGGUACCCUCUCCAUUGGAGUGAAUUGAAUUGAUAGAGUAAGUACGGCUCCUUCCUUACACGGCUUCCCACUACUAUUAAGAACAGGAAAUGUUCCCUCAAUCAUUGCACCAGAACAUAGCUGCUCUACAGAAAUUCCCACAGCACCAAUAAUUUGUGAUCCUACAACAUCAUUAUCUUUAACAACAAAAUGCACUUCUGAUGCAUAAUGUGCCACUGGAACAUAAAAAUGCUG